rnacentral:rRNA from 1 species
CCUACGGGAGGCAGCAGUGAGGAAUAUUGGUCAAUGGACGAGAGUCUGAACCAGCCAAGUAGCGUGAAGGAUGACUGCCCUAUGGGUUGUAAACUUCUGUUAUAGGGGAAUAAAACAGGGUAUGCAUACCCUCUUGUAUGUACCAUAUGAAUAAGGAUCGGCUAACUCCGUGCCAGCAGCCGCGGUAAUACGGAGGAUCCGAGCGUUAUCCGGAUUUAGUGGGUUUAAAGGGAGCGUAGGGGGCUUGUUAAGUCAGUUGUGAAAGUUUGCGGCUCACCCGGAAAAUUGCAGUUGAAACUGGCAGUCUUGAGUACAGUAGAGGUGGGCUGUAUUCGUGGUGUAUCGGUGCACUGCUUAGAUCUCACGA